rnacentral:lncRNA from 1 species
CCCAAAUAGUUUUUAAUGGUAAUAUUGAACAGUUUUUUAUAUUUGUCAUUUAGAGGGGGAUUAGUAGCAUCUUUAUACCACUAUAGCCAAAUGUAUAGUAGCCUCUUUGUCCCAGAUCCUUUAUUGAGACAAUUUUUGCUUGUUAAUUUGCAUUUCUGGAACAAAAAUAACAGCAAAGGGUUUCUGGUUAAAGGAAGAAAGAAGGGUUGGGAUCAGCACAGCAAUUAAGCCUGAGGUAAACCUGAUUGAUGUCUUUCUAAGGAUAGGUCACUGUGCAUGGAUAAAAAUGAUAUCUCUAUAAGCAUCUUGAGUACAUGGAAAUGUUCCAUGAAAAAGAAAAAGUUCAGGGAUUAGGAGACUGGAUUUUUUUCAGCUAUGGUGUGUUUGAGGAAUAUAUGCAACUUAAUCACAUAGUUUGGCAGUUUCCAAAUGCCUGCCUGUAGAUCAGCUGCAUUUGAGUCAGUUUUAAGAUAGUUUUUCAGGACUCCUAUCAGAAUUCCUGAUUCAGUGGGAGAAGACGGGAGGUAGGGUCUUUAUUUUUAAUAAGCAUCAAUGUAAAUUAUAUAUUUAAAUACAUACAAAAAUGCACUGUAUUUUUCUUGAAGAUUUCUUGAAUCUUCCUCUAGCCUAUAUCAGGAUCAUAAGCGGACAUUCUUCUUUCGAUAUACAAUUAUGCACCAUCUGUGUGGUGCUUUUUUGGUGCAUUGUACUUCCUUGAAAUAAAAUAUGACUUAUUUUUUUCCUCCAUUGAUUAUGGUACCUAGUUCAGACAGUGGCUGUAGUUUAUGUAGGUGUUAGCAGCUCAGCAGAAAGAAGAUUGUUUACCUAUUGAAAAUGCUGGCACAGCCCCCUUGGCAAGGGUGAAUGAUCCGUGUGAGGCCAGAGAGUUCUGGGAAAAUCCUUGCAUCAUGUUUGUUGUCUUUCCACAUUUCCUAAGAAAGGAUAUUUUUGCUUGUGGUCUACCAACAUAAGCUUCUUUUAAAAAAAUCCUAAACCUUAAGAGAAAGAUUAAAAAAAAAAUAGUACGGGAUAAGCUUUUGGGGGAUAUACAUAUAAGUUUGCAGUGCAUUAGAGCUGCUAGUGAAAGAGCUAUUGGCAUGCGUAUGCACUAAAAUUAAAUCUGUGAGCAAUGACAAAUAAAAGGAGAUGAAAUUAGAAGAAUUUAUAGACUCACUUUUGUCUUCUGCUGUUUUUGUAUCACUGGAAGUCUAGGUGACACACAUUUAUAGUUGCUAUAAAGCACUGAUUAUGUUCUCUUAGCUUAGUGGCAUAGAAAGCUAGGCUGAAAUGAAGGUAGUGAAGGAUGUAAUUGAUUAAAAAUAUCUAGAUAAUAUAAAGAAAACUGUGGACCAAGCAGAUUUUUCACAAUUAUGAUAGUUUAAUGUUCAUACUAUUUUUACUUUUAUAAUGAUAUUUUUUAUAGUAAACAGCCAUUCUGUGCUUCACACAUUUGUGAGGUUUUCAGAACAAGAAAUACUGGCUUCCCUUAGAGCGUAAAAAAAUUGAUAAUCAGAGAAGUGGCUUGCACAAAGUCAUAGGAAGAGAAAUGAAUGAUCUGCUAGAAAGACUCAGUUUGAGGCAGUGACUGUGAUCUCAUUCCCAAGAGUAGAAAUUCUUCAAAUAUCUGCUAGCUGAUGGUCUCAGAAAACAAUCAGACAAACAAACAAAUGGUUCAGGAGACCUGAUAGGUAUGAUUUAUCACAAAAUGCCAAAUGAUCUCGAAAGUAGCUUAGUGGCUUAAAUCAAUAGUGAAUGUGCAUGUUUUUUUCCAUCUAUCACCCAGUGAUAUUAGAGAUGACAGUUUAUUUGAUGAAGGCAUCAGUAUUUUGUGCAUUUUAUUAUGAGAUUUGCUACUAGAUUUUAUGAGUUCUUUUGAAAGAAAACUUUGUCACCACUUAAAAUAUAUUUUAUUAAUAUACUCACUUUAAAAAUGUAUUUGUGCAAUUUUUGGAAAUGCUGAGUUUUGCUCUUCUUUGGUCUCAAAAAGGCAUAAUAAAUCUCCCCUGAUGCUGGUUCCUGACAAAUCCCCAGUCACAUUUAGCUAUUAAAGUCAAUUCUACCUUAUUCAUUUCUCAUCAUAUCAGAACAAGAGACACAGAAGUGUUGUGCAUCUUUGGGACUGUAGAUUAUCAUUUAAAAUGUGCUGAUACACCUGAAGUCUUAAAGUUAAAUUAAUAACUGCAUAAGAGAGCAAUUUCCUGGCAUUCUGUGUUCUUCAAUUCAAGGGUUUUAUCCUAGAUGAGUGCACAAUUCUACUCUGGAAAAUGAGUUUUAAUAGAUAUACUUUAUGUAAAAAUGAAGCAGUAAUGAGCCAGGAUUUACUAUUUGAGCCUAAAAUUUAUGCUAAAUUAGAGUGUAUAAAUAAAACGGUUGAUAUAAUGGAAUUAUGGAUAGAUAAAUAGAUAUAAAUGGAUUUAUAAUUUUUUUUUGAAAAUUUGGCAAUUUUAUUAAUCUCAGGAAUGGCCCCAAUUUAUGCCUCUCUCAAUUCUGAUGGUCUGAUCUGCUGGCCUGGAACUGCUGCUUUUCUCAAGUUGGGCAUGCUUAGCCUCUACAUUCAUCAAAAAUCAUGUAUCAAACUUGGUGCUAAGUCAGAUAGCUGGUGCAUUUUUAAUGUUAUUGUAUUCUUGUGCUUUAUUGCCAUGCUCUUACUAGCCCUUUUGGUUGUUGACUGCUGCUUUUCUUUUUUGAAAUAACCCUUUUUGUUUGUUUGCUUUUCUUUUUUGAACCUCUGUUUUAUUCACUUUGGUACGUGUUUCCACAUUCUUCCUGACUGUGGACCACAUGCCCUUUUCUGAAUUCUGGUGUUUUGUUGUUCAUCUGCCUAAUUUCUUAUUGUCUUUGUCAGCAAGAACCCUCUGAUAAAUACAUAACCCUGAACAGUACUAUUGCACUUUCUAAUUAUCUUAUCAUCAUUAUUUAUUAGGGAGCCAGUUUGUCUGAGUACAUCAGAUAUGCUGUCUCCUCUAGUGUGGUUCUAUUGCUGUUGGUUAAUUAGUUGAAAGCAGUUAAAAUAUCUAUCCUCUGAUCCCUUCCUCUGUUGAGUUGGGAGUAGGGUUGGAGGAAGUGAAUCAGUGGGAAAUAAAAAGGUCACCUGGACUAAAUUUCCUCCUAUCUUGACCUUCAAGUAUGCAAACUAAUGAAACUUGCCCAGGAGGAAGAGACUUUGCUUCUGAAAUGCCCUUAGCAAGAUGUCCUUGAAGGAUUACUCAAGAUGUAUCAACAUGGCUCCUGGAAAAAGUCAUGUAGGUGGUACAACUCUCUGUAGUAUAUAACAUGAUAUGUUUUAUAUGCUAGCCUUUUGUGAAGUGAUCUUGUGAACUUCACUUAAGAAACUUCAAGUAUUCUGGACCAGAGAGGUUUUUCUAACAUGAGAAGAAAGUUGGGCCUAACUCCUGACAGCUCUACCUAGUGUAGUCCUUUAAUCGUCUGUGUCCUUGGUCCUUGAUAAGAUUAGUAAACCUUGACCUUAGUUAAGAUCUCUGAUCGUUGUGAGUCUGAUUUGACAAUCUGCUGUUGUAUAUUAUUGUCUCUAGUGUGGGACUGCCUGGAUUUGAAUCCCUGUAUCCCAAGUUUUUACCUGUGGGCUUUAGGCAAAUUCCCUAACCUGUCAAUGAUCAAUUAUCCUACCCAUAAAAUGGAGAUUCAGAAUAGUUUGUGUUUGGGAUUAACACAUGUAAAAUGUAGAACAGUUUCUAGCACAUAGUAAACUUGAACACAAUGUUAAAUAGUUUAUUAAGAUUCAAUUCAGAAGAAGUCCACAGUAAUAAACAACAUUCUUCAUGUACUUCUUGUGCACCAGGUACUGAGUCAGGAACUUUAAAAUAAUUAUUUCCUUCUAAUUUUUAUAAUCAACCCUAUGAAUAGUGAGAUUUUCCACAAAUGUGGAGAAGGAGACUAAGACUAGAAUUUUUACUUUGUCCUUCUAAAGCAUAUGUAACAUGUAACUGCAUGUCACUCCACACGCCCAAAUUGAAUGUCUCUAGGCCCUUGAUACUCAAAAUGCUGUCUGCAGCAUUAACAUCACCUGGGAGCUUGUUAGAACUGCAGACUCUAUGGCUCUAUCAAAGACCUACUGAUUCAGAAUCUGCAUUUUAACAAGAUCCCUAGAGUGAUGUGUAUGCCUGUUAAAAUUCAAUAACCCCAUUUUAGUUGUUUUAGGUAUUUUUUCCCAUGCCAUUUUAUCCAGUAUAUAUGCUAUGGUUUAUAAAUAAAUAUAUUUUAAUUGCUGUAGGUUUUCAGUGACCUUUGUGGUUUAAUUUUCAGCUAUAGCAUGGGAGUCAUUUCACUCAUGCUCACUGCCAGUAAGUACUAAGGAAGAAGAAUGGAAGGCAGAAAGUCAAGAUGACGCUUUAAGCAGAAGGAAAAGUUCCAUAAUUGAACUGAGUAUCUCUCCUAGUAGUUCUACUAUCCAAACUGCAUUAAAAAGUGAAGACACCAUCACAUGGGAUUUAAUUUCAUGAAUAGUUUUCAAUAGAAAUAAAUCCUACAUUUCCACAGUUUGCAUUUUCUUGCAUUUGUGUCUCUGUAAAAUGAAAUCAGAUAUGGACCAUAAGUACUUGGUAAUUAUCAAGGCCCUGAUUUUAGGGAAAGUAGUUUAGCUUGGAUUUUGGUCCAGUGUUGUUCCAUUCUGAUUUAUGAAAAAUUUUGUGAAAGUUGUAUACUUUUUAUGGUUCAGAUUUGAUUGGAGAAAAUUUUGUUUCUUGCAGUUUUCCUAUUGAUUAGAAUGCAUGGAAUGCCAAUAACAUUGUUUCAUAACAAUACUAAAGUCCAUGAACACUAGAUCAAAUACUGAAACAAUCAUGGUCAUACUGUGGCAUUAUACUUUAAAAAAAUUAGUGUAAUGCUGGAAGCAUUAAAACAGUAAAUUAAAGAGAAAAAUUUCUUUGAUAAUCCUUACCUUGUAAAAACAAUAGCCAGUCAUUGAUCUUAAUUCUCAGUCUUCUCUGGAACUUUGAAAAUAUAGAACAGCUUUAAGUCUGUAGAAAUAAAUUAAAACAGGGAGUUCCCAUUGUGGCUCAAUGCAGUGAACCCAACUAGCACUGUGAGGAUGUGGAUUUGAUUCCUGGCCUCAUUCAGUGGGUUGGGGCCCUGUUGUUGCCAUGAGCUGUGGUGUAGGUCACUGGUGCAGCUUGGAUCUGGUGUUGCUGUGGCUGUGGCAUAGGCUGGCAGCUAUAGCUCUGAUUCAGCCCCUAGCCUGGGAAUUUCCAAAUGCCACGGGUGCAGCCCUACAAAGACAGAAAAAUUAAAAAAUAAAUAAAUGGCAACAACCCAAAAGAAAACAGAGAUUGUUUAUUCAUAACAUGCAAUUUCAUUGAUAUCAGCAUCUGUCCCUUGCAUUUGUCAGAAAUUCAAAGGCAGCCAGGAAAGUGGAAAAGCUUUACAGU